rnacentral:rRNA from 1 species
UAGUAGGUGAACCUGCGGAAGGAUCAUUACAGAAAUAGGAGAAGGUUGCUUAACUGCAAUCCUUUUCUUUCUACACAUGUGUUUUUCUUUUUUUUGAAAACUUUGCUUUGGUGGGCCCACGGCCUGCCAGAGAUUAAACUCAACCAAAUUUUAUUUAAUUGUCAACUUGAUUAACUAAUAGUCAAAACUUUCAACAGCGGAUCUCUUGGUUCUCGCAUCGAUGAAGAACGCAGCGAAAUGCGAUAAGUAAUAUGAAUUGCAGAUAUUCGUGAAUCAUCGAAUCUUUGAACGCACAUUGCGCCCUUUGGUAUUCCAAAGGGCAUGCCUGUUUGAGCGUCAUUUCUCCCUCAAACCUUCGGGUUUGGUGUUGAGCGAUACGCUGGGUUUGCUUGAAAGAAAGGCGGAGUAUAAACUAAUGGAUAGGUUUUUUUUUCCACUCAUUGGUACAAACUCCAAACAUUCUUCCAAAUUCGACCUCAAAUCAGGUAGGACUACCCGCUGAACUUAAGCAUAUCAAUAAGCGGAGG